rnacentral:rRNA from 1 species
AUUGAACGCUGGCGGCAUGCCUUACACAUGCAAGUCGAACGGCAGCACGGGUGCUUGCACCUGGUGGCGAGUGGCGAACGGGUGAGUAAUAUAUCGGAACGUGCCCUAGAGUGGGGGAUAGCCCGGCGAAAGCCGGAUUAAUACCGCAUACGAUCUACGGAUGAAAGUGGGGGACCGCAAGGCCUCACGCUCCUGGAGCGGCCGAUAUCUGAUUAGCUAGUUGGUGGGGUAAAAGCCUACCAAGGCGACGAUCAGUAGCUGGUCUGAGAGGACGAUCAGCCACACUGGGACUGAGACACGGCCCAGACUCCUACGGGAGGCAGCAGUGGGGAAUUUUGGACAAUGGGGGCAACCCUGAUCCAGCAAUGCCGCGUGAGUGAAGAAGGCCUUCGGGUUGUAAAGCUCUUUUGUCAGGGAAGAAACGGUGGGGACUAAUAAUCUCUGCUAAUGACGGUACCUGAAGAAUAAGCACCGGCUAACUACGUGC